rnacentral:rRNA from 1 species
UACAGAGGGGGCAAGCGUUGUUCGGAAUUACUGGGCGUAAAGGGCGCGUAGGCGGCCUUCUAAGUCGAACGUGAAAUCCCCGGGCUCAACCCGGGAACUGCGUCCGAUACUGGAAGGCUUGAAUCCGGGAGAGGGAUGUGGAAUUCCAGGUGUAGCGGUGAAAUGCGUAGAUAUCUGGAGGAACACCGGUGGCGAAGGCGCCCACCUGGCCUGCUACUGACGCUGAAGCUCGAAAGCUAGGGGAGCAAACGGG